ensembl:rRNA 5S_rRNA 5S ribosomal RNA
GCUUACGCUAUACCACCCUGAACACGCCCGAUCUCGUCUGAUCUCGGAAGCUAAGCAGGGUCGGGCCUGGUCAGUACUUGGAUGGGAGACCGCCUGGGAAUACCAGGUGCUGUAAGCU